UACGGAAGGUGCAAGCGUUGUUCGGAUUGACUGGGCGUAAAGCGCACGUAGGCGGGCUUAUAAGUCGGAUGUGAAAGCCCCAGGCUUAACCUGGGAACAGCAUACGAAACUGUAGGUCUUGAAUACCUGAGAGGUUGGUAGAAUUCCAGGUGUAGGAGUGAAAUCCGUAGAUAUCUGGAGGAAUACCGGUGGCGAAGGCGGCCAACUGGCAGUGUAUUGACGCUGAGGUGCGAAAGCGUGGGGAGCAAACAGG
rnacentral:rRNA from 1 species